rnacentral:rRNA from 1 species
GAUGAACGCUGGCGGCGUGCUUAACACAUGCAAGUCGAACGAUGAAGCCCAGCUUGCUGGGUGGAUUAGUGGCGAACGGGUGAGUAACACGUGAGUAACCUGCCCUUAACUCUGGGAUAAGCCUGGUAAACUGGGUCUAAUACCGGAUAGGAGCGUCCACCGCAUGGUGGGUGUUGGAAAGAUUUAUCGGUUUUGGAUGGACUCGCGGCCUAUCAGCUUGUUGGUGAGGUAAUGGCUCACCAAGGCGACGACGGGUAGCCGGCCUGAGAGGGUGACCGGCGACACUGGGACUGAGACACGGCCCAGACUCCUACGGGAGGCAGCAGUGGGGAAUAUUGCACAAUGGGCGCAAGCCUGAUGCAGAGACGCCGCGUGAGGGAUGACGGCCUUCGGGUUGUAAACCUAUUUCAGUAGGGAAGAAGCGAAAGUGACGGUACCUGAAGAAGAAGCACCGGCUAACUACGUG